GUUAUUCAACUGUUAAACAAAGAUAUAAUCAACACGAAAGCUCCAAUAGCCCAAAGAAGACGCCUUUACAACCCUAGUUCCCUUCAUCAACUCAAUCAUUACUGCCUUCUUCCCUAUCCNNNNNNNNNNNNNCCUGUUCUCUGUGUCUCUGCCUUCUUAUCGUCAAAUUUCUCAUCACAAUUUCCCUUUUUUUUUAAUUGCCUUUUUCUUUUGUUAUAUGCCGAAUUUUGCUUCUUCCCUUGCACGAUAUGGAGGGUAAUUCUCUAAAUUUCGAACCUCAUCUUGAAGUUGAAGGAA
rnacentral:misc_RNA from 1 species